CUUUUAUCCCUCCUUCUUCCUUGCUCUCAUCCAAGGGAGGAGGGUUAAUAGGAUUGCCUAGUGCUACAGCAGCUUCACUAGAGUGUAAAAACGUCAGGCAAAGUCUCUCUUUCACUCAGCUGGAGGGCAAGUUGCCUAGUCCUGCCAUCUUAGUUACCCAAGAGAAAAGAGAGAGUCACACACACACACACACUCUCUCUCUCUCUCUCUCUCAGCAUUCAUGACUAAGCAUCAUGGCCAUUGCCAUGUUCCUAUACCAAGUGUUUUAUGAGAUAAUAUCAGGACUAUAAAAUCUAGUUAGCUUAGGGAGAAAUACAAUUCCCUGCUUAGACCUUGAAGCUAGGCUUAUAUAACCCAAUCAGCUUUUCCAGGAGCCCAAUGAUAAAUUGAUGCUUUGAUUUUCCUUUGCUAAUGGUCUUAUGAGAAUCACACCUGCAACCCCAUAGGGGGUGAAGAGAUGGACCAGGAAGUAUCCAGAUGCACUUGAAUUCAUUAUCAUCACCCUCAAUCUGAACUCCUAAUAGUGGAUAUAGACUAUUCCAAAUUAUAUCGAGAAAAAACGCUCUAUGUUCUGUUGGUAAUUUAGUUCAAAGAUGAAGGUGGUGCGCUACAGUAAAAAGGGCAGUGUUCAACCCAGACAGCCCUGAGUUCAAGUUUGGGCUCUUCUUCUACCUGUGAGACUACACAGAAAUCAAUUCACCUCCAUGGACUCAGUAAGUAUGUUGUAAGUGGGAAAAUGAGAGAACUUAGCUCAAAACGUUGCUAGGAAUAUUAAGUGAAAUACAACAUGGAAACAGUGGAGCCCUCCGUAACUGGCUGCUGUUAAUGUCACCAUGAGGACUGAGACCCAAAGUGAGAGACUGAAUUGGUGCUCUGGCCAAGGGUAUGCCUCAGCUUGCAGGAUGAACAGUGAGGAUGAGUGUCUGUGUUUCCAAGAUGAGCUGUAAACAGGGGCCUGCCUACUGACUAACUUCCUGGGUGCUUGUUUUACCCUUCCAAGAAGAGCUGGUUUAUAAACUCUAUGCUUGCAUUGAUCAUGAUAGCCCAUUUUGUGGAUGUACCAUAAUUUAUUUAACUGGUCUGUUAUGUUACAUAUUGUAAUGGACCCUUGUUGGUUGUUUACUUGGAAUUCACGUAAGUAUUUUUCUAACAGUUGUCUAAUUUUUAUUCAGAAGACCAUGGCUUCUCCAUGUAGCACAGGGACUGUGGGGAGAUCUUGCUGCACUCCUAGUUGAAGGGGCAGCACCAAACAUCACAUUUCACCCCCCGUGCACAUUCAUUCCACUCCCAUUGUGGUUGUGCCGUCACCUCAGUUGGUCCAAUCAAUUAGACUUAUCUCACUGUGACUCUUGCUUGGAAUGACAGAACAGAUGUUUCCCUUCUCCCUCUCAUGGAUGAAAGAACAAGUAGCCCUAGGAGAUGUUGGCAGCUGUCUUGCAAUAACAAAGG
rnacentral:lncRNA from 1 species